AAUCCUGACUCAGGAUGAACGCUAGCUACAGGCUUAACACAUGCAAGUCGAGGGGCAGCAUGGACCCAGCUUUGCUGGGUUUGAUGGCGACCGGCGCACGGGUGAGUAACGCGUAUCCAACCUGCCCUUUACUCCGGGAUAGUCUCCUGAAAGGGAGUUUAAUACCGGAUGUGUUUGUCUUUCCGCAUGGGAGCGACAAAUAAAGAUUAAUUGGCAAAGGAUGGGGAUGCGUCCCAUUAGCUUGUUGGCGGGG
rnacentral:rRNA from 1 species